UACGUAGGGUGCGAGCGUUAAUCGGAAUUACUGGGCGUAAAGCGUGCGCAGGCGGUUGUGCAAGACAGAUGUGAAAUCCCCGGGCUUAACCUGGGAACUGCAUUUGUGACUGCACAGCUGGAGUGCGGCAGAGGGGGAUGGAAUUCCGCGUGUAGCAGUGAAAUGCGUAGGUAUGCGGAGGAACACCGAUGGCGAAGGCAAUCCCCUGGGCCUGCACUGACGCUCAUGCACGAAAGCGUGGGGAGCAAACAGG
rnacentral:rRNA from 1 species